rnacentral:lncRNA from 1 species
AUGAUCUCUCUCUCCCUCUCUCUCUUCCUCCCUCCCUUUAUAAGGAAUGCUAUAAGGAACACCCCAUCCUACAUCACAGUAGAGUUGGUAAAGCAUUCCCGUGAUGAUCAAGCUAUCCAGUUUCUACUUGUGGCUCUGCAUCCCAGCCCACUGUAUGAUUCUGGCUUCAUCUAUGAGAGCCUGGCUGCUGUUUGCCUCCUGGUCCCCCAGCCCCCUGGUGAGGCUUCUGCAAGAGCCUUCCACCACUCCAGUGCAUGCUUGUGGCAUGAUAGAAUUUUAGAUACGGAUGCACCCAGGGAAUCUUCUGUUCUCCUCCAGUUUCCAAGAGGGAAUUCUGAGGCAUCAAGAAGGAGGUAGGUCAGAGUGAUAGUGAUGGUUCUUAGUGGAGAAUGGACUCACUUUAAAGU